CCUACGGGCGGCAGCAGUGAGGAAUAUUGGUCAAUGGGCGUAAGCCUGAACCAGCCAAGUCGCGUGAGGGAUGAAGGUUCUAUGGAUCGUAAACCUCUUUUAUAAGGGAAUAAAGUGCGGGACGUGUCCCGGUUUGUAUGUACCUUAUGAAUAAGGAUCGGCUAACUCCGGGCCAGCAGCCGCGGUAAGACGGAGGAUCCGAGCGUUAUCCGGAUUUAGGGGGUUUAAAGGGUGCGUAGGCGGCCUUGUAAGUCAGCGGGGAAAGUCUGUGGCUCAACCAUCGGAUUGCCGUUGAAACUGGGAGGCUUGAUUAUGUUUGCGGCAGGCGGCAUGCGUGGUGUAGCGGU
rnacentral:rRNA from 1 species